AGAGGGGGUGGUGCUUCAGCCUGGCGCCAGGGACGCUGCCAGCAUGCAGGCCCCGACGGAAGCCGAGACUGCGCUUCGUGCGAGGCCCGGGCAGCAUCGGCGGCGUGGUCAGAGCGAGUCUCGGAGAAGAUGUGGUGGCUUCCGUUUGUUGGUGGAGGAGGUGGCAGGCCUCGGCGGUUCAUCUGGGUUGCUCUAAAUGACACUGUUUGAUUAUUCUGAUAGCCGAAGAAUAUUCCCCAGUGUA
rnacentral:lncRNA from 10 species